UCAGAUGGCGCCGGCUAGACGGAUGACUCAGAUGGCGCCGGGUAGACGGAUGACUCAGAUGGCGCCGGGUAGACGGAUGACUCAGAUGGCGCCGGGUAGACGGAUGACUCAGAUGGCGCCGGUAGACGGAUGACUCAGAUGGCGCCGGUAGACGGAUGACUCAGAUGGCGCCGGUAGACGGAUGACUCAGAUGGCGCCGGGUAGACGGAUGACUCAGAUGGCGCCGGGUAGACGGAUGACUCAGAUGGCGCCGGGUAGACGGAUGACUCAGAUGGCGCCGGGUAGACGGAUGACUCAGAUGGCGCCGGGUAGACGGAUGACUCAGAUGGCGCCGGGUAGACGGAUGACUCAGAUGGCGCCGGGUAGACGGAUGACUCAGAUGGCGCCGGGUAGACGGAUGACUCAGAUGGCGCCGGGUAGACGGAUGACUCAGAUGGCGCCGGGUAGACGGAUGACUCAGAUGGCGCCGGGUAGACGGAUGACUCAGAUGGCGCCGGGUAGACGGAUGACUCAGAUGGCGCCGGGUAGACGGAUGACUCAGAUGGCGCCGGGUAGACGGAUGACUCAGAUGGCGCCGGGUAGACGGAUGACUCAGAUGGCGCCGGGUAGACGGACAGCUCUGGCCGGCUGAGGCGCACUAUAGGCCUGGUGCGUGGUGCCGGAACUGGUGGUACCGGGCUGGGGACAUGCACCUGAAGACUAGUGCGGGGAGAAGGAACAGGGCACACUGGACCCUGGAUACGCACAUUAGGCCUCGUGCGUGGUGCCGGAACUGGUGGUACCGGGCUGGGACGGGAAGGUGUUACAGGAGGUGUAGGACUAGGAAUGCACACAGGAGACCUGGUUCGUGGAACUGUCAUUCCCAGACGGUUAGCACGCAACUCAGGACGAGCAUGAAGAGCUGACUCAGGUAACAUCACAUCCCGCACACGCUCUGUCGGGUGGAUGUCGUGCCUCACGCACCAACACAGCAGCUCCCUCUUUUCACUCUCCUCCAAACUCCUCAAUAAAUCCUUAACAGUCUCUAUAUCCUUCCCAUUGCUCACCUCCAGUAUCUGCACAACGGGCUCUGGCUCCCUCCUUUCACGCUGCUUGGUCCUGAAUGGUCGUGUCAUUCUGUCACGAUUGACCAUGGGAGAGAGAGAGGACCAAGGCGCAGCAUGUAAAAAAGACAUCUUCUCUUUAUUUAGGAGAAAACGAACGAAGCAAAACAACAAAUAGACGACCGUGAAGCUAGAACCGAACGAAAUGCAAACAUGCAACCUAGACACAGACACAGACCUAGACAAUGACCCGACAAAAACAUGAUGCCCAUGGCCGCCUAAAAUAUGGCUCCCAAUCAGAGACAAAUGAAAGACAUCUGUCUCUAAUUGGGAACCACUCAGGCAACCAUAGACAUACCUAGAACAUUCACUCAACCAUAGACAUACCUAGAAACAUUCACUCAACACAAACCCAUAAACUAAACCCAACACCCCCUUUUCCAUAUAACCACCAAAAACGAGACAAAACACAAACAUUCCCCAUGUCACACCCUGACCUAACUAAAAUAAUAAAGAAAACAAAGAAUACUAAGGCCAGGGCGUGACACCUUCAGAGGGCAUUGCAUGACAAUUGUCUUCAUUCUCUAACGUUAACGUUACUACAAUAAAGAAAAAGGAUCGAUAUUUCCUUUUUUCUUAUGAACAGCAAGACAAGCUUACAAAAUUGUUUUACAUUUGCAGUAAAUGUAUUGUAGAACAAACAUGCCUCUGAUACUAAGGAAUCAUGUCAGUUCUAUUCAUGGCAUUUAUAUCUGAACGUUAAAAAACGUUUUUAUACUGAACAUGCCCAGGGGAACCCACGGACCAAUAUACAGUAUGAACCCCACUGCCCAUCACUUGUCUGUCUGGAAAGCCUCCACAAAUGAAAAUGUGUGGUGGGUGGGGUCAGCCCAUAGCUGACCCCGCCCCUUUCUGUGUGCCGCUUCUCCUCAAUCAAGGUUUCCACUAGCUUCUAUAGCCACAAAGUCAGAUUUCACAGGUCACAAAUUCAGAUUCCACAUCCACAAAGUCAAAAUUGGAUACAAAAAAUAUAUAUUUUCAGGCUUAAUUUAAGGUCAGGGUUAGGUUUAAAAUAAAAUUGUAAGAUGAGAAAUUGUAGGUAUGGGUAGGGUUUAUGACUUUGUUGCUAUAGAAACUUGGGACGACCCUCAAGUCUGCAUCUCAAUUUGAUUUGUUUCUUAAUGCAUUUGAGCCUAUCAGUUGUGUUGUGACAAGGUAGGGGUGGUAUUCAGAAGAUAGCCCUAUUUGGUAAAAUACCAAGUCCAUAUUAUGGCAAGAACAGCUCAAAUAAGAAAAUAGAAACGACAGUUUAAGACGUGAAGGUCAAUCAAUACGGAACAUUUCAAGAAUUUUGAAAGUUUCUUCAACUGCAGUCGCGAAAACCAUCAAGCGCUAUGAUGAAACUGGCUCUCAUGAGGACCGCCACAGGAAAGGAAGACCCAGAGUUACCUCUGCUGCAGAGGAUAAGUUCAUUAGAGUUACCAGCCAGAAAUUGCAGCCCACAUAAAUGCUUCACAGAGUUCAAGUAACAGACAGAUCUCAACAUCAACUUUUCAGAGGACACUGUGAAUCAGGCCUUCAUAGUCAAAUUGCUGCAAAGAAACCACUACUAAAGGACACCAAUAAUAAGAAGAGACUUGCAUGGGCCAAGAAACACGAGCAAUGGACAUUAGACUGGUGGAAAUCUGUCGUUUGGUCUGAUGAGUCCAAAUGUGUGAUUAUUGGAUCCAACAGCCGUGUCUUUGUGAGACGCAAAGUAGGUGAACGAAUGAUCUCUGCAUGUGUGGUUCCCACCAUGAAGCAUGGAGGAGGUGUGAUGGUGUGGGGGUGCUUUGCUGGUGACACUGUCUGUGAUUUAUUUCAAAUUCAAGGCACACUUAACCAGCAUGGCUACCACAGCAUUCUGCAGCGAUACGCCAUCCCAUCUGGUUUGCGCUUAGUGGGACUAUUAUUUGUUUUUCAACAGGACAAUGACCCAAUACACCUCCAGGCUGGGUAAGGGCUAUUUGACCAAGAAGGAGAGUGAUGGAGUGCUUCAUCAGAUGACCUGGCCUCGACAAUCACUUGACCUCAACCCAAUUGAGAUGGCUUGGGAUGAGUUGGACCGCAGAGGGAAGGAAAAGCAGCCAACAAGUGCUCAAACAUAUGUGGGAAGUCCUUCCAGUCUGUUGUGAAAGCAUUCCAGGUGAAGCUGGUUGAGAAUGCCAAGAGUGUGCAAAGCUGUCAUCAAGGCGAAGGUUGGCUACUUUUUUACUACAUGAUUCCAUAUGUGUUAUUUCAUAGUUUCAAUAUUUAAUCAAUCAUUUAUUUGUAAUUUUUGGGGGGGAUACCUAAAGGGGUCCUAAAAUUCAAAAGCAAAUAGCUAAGUGAUCCAUGGUAUGACAAUAUUAAAAAAUAUAUAUAUGUAAGCUUAGAAACCCCCUCCCCCAAUGACUUAGACUCUUAUAAGGCCAGUUUUAAAAGUUCAGAGUGAUGGAGCAGCUCUCAGAUGGUCAGGGAGAGGAUUCCAUGGGUGAGGGGCAAGGGAGCAUGAAGGCUCGGUCCCCCAUAGUUCAGAGACGUGUCUUGGGGACUUGAAGCAGUAGGGAGUGGUUGGAGCUGAGAGUGCAAGGUAUAGAUACAGUACAGUACAUCAUCAAAAUGAUAUGAGUCCAAAACAGAAUAGAUCUGUGUGUUUGAGGGGAGAGGGAAGAUGGAGGCAUCUGGACAUAUUGAAUCAUUGACUCUGAGUCACCAUAUUCUCUACCUAUAUUCAAUGAAAAAGUGGGGCAGAAUAUAACCAAUCACAGUCUUUCAAAAAGAGCACCUCCCUGAAAAUUACAUCUGUGCUAUCCUUGAAAUGUUAUUGUGUGCUCUCCCUCCCUCAUCCCUGAUACAGAGAGAAAGAGAGAGAGAGAGAGACCUGACCCGAUCUCCCCACAUAGUCUUUUCAAAGGCAUGCUUUUGGAUUCGUAAAAAAAGUGACAAAAUCUCAAUGUCAGGGAGAACGGUGCACCGUCUCUGAUAGUAGGCAGUCUCUGUCGGGGUGCCACUAUUCUCCAGGUUAGCUUAUACUGAGAAAAUAAUCAGAGCCCUCUUUGAACCCACCUCUCAAGGAUACACAUUGGUGGGAAAGGCACCUUUUAACAGUUGGACAUUUAAAUUCAGCCAUGAGAGAGCAGUAGGAGGCUCUCCUCUCCGCCCUGGCUUGUGUUAUCUCAGGCUUUGUCUUUGUUGCACCCCAAAUGGGUGAGUGAUGUGUCGAAGAAUCGUGGUGUCCCUGUGAAAUUGUGCAUUCCUCUGUGAGACUCUGCGAGAGAGGUGCGUUGGAUAGCCAGAGCAGCGUGAAGAGUAAGUGCUGUGAGAGUUUUGUGAAGCAGGGCGCCUCUAAUGAAAACACACACGGGGAUGGAGCGUCUGUACACAAACCCACUGUGCGUCCCCCCUGCGCGUAUCACAACUGCAUGCAGACGACCUCACUGACCCUGACGCCUCUGUGUCAACACUGGCCUCCCCGCAAGCUGCACAUGCACACGCUCGCACACACAGACACGUACACACCGCCCUCCCCCUGAGACACACAAUCAUACACACAUACAUGAGCGCGCCUACCAUAUUAACAAUUAUCAUGCUGCACAUGCAUACACACACACACACACACACAUUGCCUUACAUGUCACCAACUGUCACUGAAAAGCUCACACAUCCUGUGUGCACAUAUACACACGCAGAAAUCUUGAAUUGCUCAAUCUUAUAGCGGCUAACUGAACAUAAACGGCUUUUGGAUUUUGGAUUUGCUUGGUCAGCAAUAGCAGUUACCAUAGACUUCCACUCAUUGCGCUAACACUAGUCAGCAAUUGCGCUAACGCUAGUUAGCAACUUCCUUUGAACUGCACGCAGAGACAUAACAAUGGCAUCCAUGAAUUCAUCUGACUCUGGGAAGGUAGAUAAAGGGCUUCAUUGUCAAAAUCCUAAAGUAUCCCUUUAACCUUAUAUAUAUAUAUCUUGGUCCUAUAAAACAUAACAUCCUUGUCCUUUAACUUCUUAUGGCUGCAGGGGCAGUAUUGAGUAGCUUGGAUGAAAGGUGCACAGAGGUGCCAAGAGUAAACAGCCUGCUCCUCAGUCAUAGUUGCUAAUAUAUGCAUAUUAUUAUUAGUAUUGGAUAGAAAACACUCUGAAGUUUCUAAAACUGUUUGAAUUAUGUCUGUGAGUAUAACAGAACUCAUAUGGCAGGCAGAAACCUGAGAAGUUCCACUUCCUGUUUGGAUUUUUUCUGAGGCUGGUAGAUUUUCAACCAAGCUCCCAUUAAAAUUACAGCGAGAUAUGGAUGAGUUUACACUUCCUACGGCUUCCACUAGAUGUCAACAGUCAAUAGAACUUUGUCCGAUGACUCUGUUGUGAAGGAGGGCCGAAGGAGACAGGAAUGAGUAACCACUGCCAUGAGGUGACCACACUUUGACCACACGCGUUCACGUGAGAGGCAGCUCCGUUCCAUCGCUCAACUGAAGUCAAUGUAAUUCUCCGGUUGGAACGUUAUUCAAGAUGUAUGUUAACAACAUUCUAAAGAUUGAUUCAGUACAUCGUUUGACAUGUUUCUACUGACUGUUACGGAACUUUUGGACAUUUCGUCACGUUUUAGUCAACGCGCUUUGUGACUUUGGAAUUGUUUACCUAUCGUGCUAACCAAAGUAGCAAAUUUGACAUAAAUAAAGGAAAUUAUCGAACAAAUCCAGCAUUUAUUGUGGACCUGCGAUUCCUGGGAGUGCAUUGUGAUGAAGAUCAUCAAAGGUAAGGGAAUAUUUAUCAUGUAAUUUCUGGUUUCUGUUGACUCCAACAUGGCGGCUAAUUUGACUCUUGUUCUGAGCUCCGUCUCAGAUUAUUGCAUGGUUUGCUUUUCCCGUAAAGUUCUUUUUUUAAUCUGACACACCGGUUGCAUUAAGGAGAGGUAUAUCUAUAAUUCCAUGUGUAUAACUUGUAUUAUCAUCUACAUUUAUGAUGAGUAUUUCUGUUGAAACGAUGUGGCUAUGCACUAUCACUGGAUGUUUUUGGAACUAGUGAAUGUAACGCGCCAAUGUAAACUCAGAUUUUUUUAUAUAAAUAUGAACUUUAUCAAACAAAACAUGCAUAUAUUGUGUAACAUGAAGUCCUAUGAGUGUCAUCUGAUGAAGAUCAUCAAGGUUAGUGAUUCAUUUUAGCUAUAUUUCUGCUUUUUGUGACUGCUAUCUUUCCCUGGAAAAAUGGCUGUGCUUAUUGUGGUUUGGUGUGACCUAAAAUAAUCGUUUGUAGUGCUUUCGCUGAAAAGCAUAUUUGAAAUGGGACACUUUGGUGGGAUUAACAACAAAAUUACCUUUAAAAUGGUAUAAGAAACAUGUAUGUCUGAGGAAUUUUAAUUAUGAGAUUUCUGUUGUUUUGAAUUUGGCGCCCUGCACUUUCACUGGCUGCUGUCAUAUCAUCCCGUUACUGGGAUUGCAGCCAUAAGAAGUUUUAAGGUCCUGGCUGUUAGUAGUUUCCAUGGUGACAGGUUUUAUGUUCAGAUAAUAAGGUGAAAAGUGGUUUCUAUUCUGAGGCAUCAUUUAGGCCAUUCUCUCCCAUGGGGGGGGGGGUCUAUCUGUCUCAGUCGGAUCAAUAUCACAGACGUGUACACACACUCACGCAUACACACACUCACCUUCCUCCUGUCUAACUCACUGCUAUUGGACAAAAGCAUUGAGGGGAGGCAGGUAGCCUAGUGGUUAGAGCGUUGGCCUAGUAACCAAAAUGUUUGCAAGAUCAAAUCCCAGAGCUGACAAGGUAAAAAUGCUGUCGUUCUGCCCCUGAACAAGGCAGUUUAACCCACUGUUCCCCUGAACAAGUCAGUUAACCCACUGUUCCACUGAACAAGGCAGUUAAUCCACUGUUCCUAGGCCGUCAUUGUAAAUAAGAAUUUGAUAUUAACUGACUAGCCUAGUUAAAUGAAGGUUAAAAAAGCUCUCUGACAUAAGACAAGGAGUAUGACUGUCUUUGUAUCUUUUGAGCUUACUUGCUUUGGCCAUUUGAGAACUAUUUGCAAAGCAAAAGACCACAGCCAAGCUCCUUGAGACUUCCUUGACUUCAUGUUGUGUUACUUUGGCACACAGUACAAUGUGACUUAAUCUCCAGUCUAAAUUUGAGCAGUAAUGUUAUGCAUGUGGUAUUGUUGGCAGAACCAAAACAGUCUGGUCAGGGAAGGAGAUAGGCCUGUCAUGUGACCACUGAAAACGGGGCUGACACAAUGGCCUGGGGUCUCAGGUGGUAUGGGAAAAGGCUGGCAGAGCAGAAGGAAGGAGGUAGGUGAGAAACACAAUCCUCUGUUUUUAGUCCUCCAGUCUGGCAGCAACCCAUGCCCCUUUCCUGUCCAGGUGCUAGCCUGCAGUAGACGAAGCCAUAAAAACAAAGAGGCUUUACUGACUGUGAAGCUAGAGGAAGUUACUGUCAUUGCUGUUGGCAGUGGCACCAUGAGUAAAAAGUACAAUAACAAAAUAGGUAGGAGGGAGAAAAAGGGGGAGGGAUGUCCUCUAAAAAAGUCAGCCAGCACAGAAGAAGAUGAGUUUGUAAUUUUACCAAUCUUGUACGGUAGCCUAGAAUUGCCUCAGGUUAAUAAGAUCGUAACAGAGAACAAUCUUUUUUUGACAAACGUCAUUCUUUUUUACUCCUUUCCCCCCCGCUCUUAGCUUUAUUCCACACGACAAAAUACUGUCAAUGUCAGAAUGAAAAGAGAGAGAAAGAGUAGAGAGAGUGUGUGUCAAAAGAGAGAUGGGGAGAUAGAGAGAGAGAGAGAGAGAGAGAGAGAGAGAGAGAGCAUGAAUAGAGGCUGUUGACCAAUAUGCUGAGUCACUGUUACACUGGAAGAAUUUCAUCAGCCAUACUAUGAGGAUUUAGGCAGAUUCAGAGAUACAGGAGUACUCCUAGUGAUAUGCAAAAUACACUGUAAUACACUGAUACCCAAAAUGUUUGAUCACAGCAUUAGAACGUUUUAUUUGUCUAAUGGGGGCUACACUAAAAUGUAUUUCCUGAGAAACUUCAUCAGAUGCUCAUAAUUCAAUGCCAGGGUCAUCUCUCUCAAAACCGCUGAUUCAUGGUUAGGAUGGAACUUCUUACCAAUCAUGAGUCAUCAUUGCAGGAGAAUGCCACUGACUGAUGGGCAGGAAUGUGAGAACGUGAGAACCAGGAGAACAAUUUCAGUUUAUUGCUAGUGGUAUCAAUAAUGGUAUUUUUUUUAUUUAUUUUUUUUCUCCCCUUUUCUCCCCAAUUUUCGUGGUAUCCAAUCGCUAGUAAUUGCUAUCUUGUCUCAUCGCUACAACUCCCGUACGGGCUCGGGAGAGACGAAGGUCGAAAGCCAUGCGUCCUCCGAAACACAACCCAACCAAGCCGCACUGCUUCUUUAACACAGCGCGCCUCCAACCCGGAAGCCAGCCGCACCAAUGUGUAGGAGGAAACACUGUGCACCUGGCCCCCUUGGUUAGCGCGCACUGCGCCCGGCCCGCCACAAGAGUCGCUGUAGCGCGAUGAGACAAGGAUAUCCCUACCGCCCAAACCCUCCCUAACCCGGACGACGCUAGCCCAAUUGUGCGUCGCCCCACGGACCUCCCGGUCGCGGCCGGCUGCGACAGAGCCUGGGCGCGAACCCAGAGACUCUGGUGGCGCAGCUAGCACUGCAAUAAUGGUAUUUUUAUAUAAAUAAUUCCCCAUAGGAUUCAAUAGAGAAGCACAUUUUUGAUAUUGAUAAUAAAACAUUAUAUACAAAAAUUCAAAUUUUUAAUAUCGAUAAUACAGUUUGUGAUAUAAAUAAUUCCAUUUAUUUUAUAUAAUUUUUUUAAAUGAUCAAUAUCAAUAUAAGAAAAUCGGCCUCCCUAGGGCCGCAGCGGUCUAAGGCCCUGUAACGCAGUGUUGCGGCUUCACUACAGCCUGGGGUUUGAUCCCAGGCUGUGUCACAACUGGCCGUGACCGGGAGUCCCAUAGGGCGGUGCACAAUUGGCCCAGCGUCGUCUGGGUUAGGGUAAGGUUUGGCUGGGAGGGGGGCUUUACUUGGCUCUUCGCGCUCUUGUGAUUCUUUGUGGCGGGCCGGGCGCCUGAAGGCUGACUUCAGUCGUCAGUUGAAUGGUGUUUCCUACAACACAUUGAUUGGUGCAGCUGGCUUCCGGGUUAAGCAGGCAGGUGUUAAGAAGCGUGGCUUGGCGGGGGGUCCAUGACGUGACCUUCGCCUCUCCCGAGCCUGUUGGAGAGUUGCAAGGAUGAGACAAGAUCGUAAUCACAAAAUUGGUACAAAUGAUAUAUUAAUAAUAAUUGAAAAAUUUAUUAAAUUAUAAUUUUUUUCGAGGGAGGAAAGGACCAUCCUACUGUGAAACCUUAAAGUUAUAAUUCUAUAGGUAAAACUAUACUAAAAAUAUUCACGUCACCAAAUAAUUGGUUAAAAUACACUGUUUUGCAAUGAAGGUCGACAGUAACUUCAACUGCACUGUCUGGGCUAGCACCAUGGUCCAUCCUCCUCUUGCUACAUUGACUUCAAUACAAAACCUAGGAGGCUGGUAGGCCCUUUCGUAGACAUGCAUGGUAAUUAUGACCACUUCCGGAGGACGUCCUCCAACCAAUCAAAGCUUUUGCGGUAUGAACUAACAUGUUGUCCAUCCAAUCAUAGAUGUAGGAUCAGAGAAUGAACAUUGUGUGUUGUAUUGGGAUUGUGCCACAGAGCAUUAUGGGGGUUGUAUGUGUUGAGAAACCUGGUGACGUUGUUGGAAGAGAUUAAGAGUGAUAGUUUAGUAUUUUUGGAAAUUAUUCAAUUCAAAUUAGUUUUUUCAAAUUACAGGAGACGGAGGAGGUAUAUUAUACAUUGUUUUCUUGGUUUUAGAACUUUAUUUUUGUAUCGUUAGUGCAAUUUAUUUAAAUUUGCAUUUUUCUCCACCAGAAUGGUAGAAUGUCCCAACACUGCCGAAAAUGUUGUGGACUUUUUGUUGAAGAACCUCUUUCAUUCUCAGGGGCAAAUUAAAAAGGUGUGAAUUAAAAGCGAGUGUCGUCCUCUGCCUGAGAUCAGUUUCAUGAAGAGGUGAGGGAGUUCAAUACCAACUGGUAUCAAAAGUAUAGCUGGUUUAACAGAGAACCUUUCAUCAAGCCGCCUGUAAUUGCACAUUGAGAUUCUUUACAUGCUGAACAUCUUUUCUGGAAUGUUGAAAACAAUUCAGAAUGAGUUGAUAGCUUCAAUCGCAUCAUCCAUUAAAAGUUAGAUUAAAGAGGUUGACACAGCACAUUUUUUCACGUGCGCUCAAGUAGGCUUUGCACUUUCCUCCGGUACUUAUUUGACAAAGAUGAUAACACAUAAUCACUCCGGACAGACACAAGCAAAAACUCAUGACAUAAAUGUUGCAGCAGCCUAGGCCACACCUAAACAUCAGAGAUCUGACUUGCUGUAUGGGAUGAAAACGAGACCAUUUUUCCUUCUGAUCAACUGUAGGCUACUAUUAAGAGCAGCUGCAUACAGCCUAUGUGCCCUGUCCAUCUGGUCAGGGUAAACUAAUUGGUAACGUUAUGUAUUUAUAGUCCAUUUGUGCGUCAGGAGAAAAUGUGAACGUGAUCAAAUUUAGAUUAUAUUCAAAAUUGGGCUGGCUAGGCUGCCUAUACGUUUUGAAUCCACAAUUAUUAACUUGAAAUAAUGAAUCAACAUAAUAGUGAUAGCAGAUGUGAGUCCUUUUUUUAUAAGGCCUACAGUUGCAUAGGCCUGCAUGAUGCAAACAUGCAUAAAAGCAAGCUCAGCCCUAUGAGUUCUAUUGUCUAUCAGUUGUUAUCGAUGUGUCUGGGUAGAGAAAAUCCCCCUCCUAAUCUAGUCUAAAUAUAAUAUAUAUCAGCAAAUGUAAGGUAGCUGCAGUUUGAAAGGGUUCAUCCCCCCCAGUGCCAGGAGUUAUUUUAAACCAUGUUACUUGAUUAGGAAAACUGGUCCCAUCAUAGCCCACAUAAAACCUUCUUACAACUGAUUAAUCACUGUCAUACCUUGUAAGGUCCAGAGUUUUCCUGGUUAGGUUAACAGAUGAGGAAAAACUCCAGGCCCCAGGAGGUAAAAAUUGCCCCACCGCUCUGGAACCUCUGGUGCUACCAAUCUGCUUGCAGUUGGCAGUUAUCAUCAGCUAAGUCCCCUCCUGUUCCCUGAUUAGGAGGUGAUGACUACUCCACUCCACUACCAUUAUCAUCUCUCUCCUGACAUGAACUGAAGCCACGUCUCAUGUGCCCACUCAUCCACUGGCACGUUGAGUGUUUCCCUUCCAAGCACUUAAAAUCCUGUCCAGCACUGGUCAAGCCUCUGAACAUCUCAACUCAUGCCUCAUACCCUCAUUCAAUCACUGCUGUGAUCCCUUCCCAACAUGGUGUAGUCGCCCUCUCAUUCCCAUCCCCCAUAAUAUUGUACUAUAAAUGUCUUUAUUAAAUGCUUUAGGUUAAAGUUAUUAGUCUUCGAUGAUUUUUGAAACACACUUGGUGGUCUCUGUGUGUUCUGUGGGUCUCCCAUCCUCCUCAAUUUUUCAAGUCACCAGCCUCCACUGAUGGUAUGACAUGAUUCUUCUGUUGUAAAAAGGUUUAAUAUGGGCUAUGGGACCAGAGUUUUUCUCAUCAGCCCACAUGGUUUUUAAAAACUCCUGUAUGAAAACCCUGUUAAACGGCAGCAAACUAGUACUUGAUCAUGUGAAUUAUAUGUUAGAGAAGGACUUUGGGGGGGUUCCUAAACACAGACACAGAAAGCAACAUGAUUGGACGAUACAACUCACAGGGCUGAGCUUGCUUUAUGCAGGUUUGCAUCCUGUAGUCCUAUGCAACUGUAGGCCUAAUAAAAAAUGAACUCACA